AUUGAACGCUGGCGGCAUGCCUUACACAUGCAAGUCGAACGGUAACAGGUCUUCGGAUGCUGACGAGUGGCGAACGGGUGAGUAAUACAUCGGAACGUGCCUAGUAGUGGGGGAUAACUACUCGAAAGAGUGGCUAAUACCGCAUGAGAUCUACGGAUGAAAGCAGGGGAUCGCAAGACCUUGUGCUACUAGAGCGGCCGAUGGCAGAUUAGGUAGUUGGUGGGAUAAAAGCUUACCAAGCCGACGAUCUGUAGCUGGUCUGAGAGGACGAUCAGCCACACUGGGGCUGAGAAACGGCCCAGACUCCUACGGGAGGCAGCAGUGGGGAAUUUUGGACAAUGGGCGCAAGCCUGAUCCAGCUAUGCCGCGUGCAGGAUGAAGGCCUUCGGGUUGUAAACUGCUUUUGUACGGAACGAAAAGCCCCGGGUUAAUACCCUGGGGUCAUGACGGUACCGUAAGAAUAAGCACCGGCUAACUACGUGCCAGCAGCCGCCGUAA
rnacentral:rRNA from 1 species